rnacentral:rRNA from 1 species
UACGAAGGGGGCUAGCGUUGUUCGGAUUUACUGGGCGUAAAGCGCACGUAGGCGGUUCGAUAAGUCAGGGGUGAAAUCCCAGAGCUCAACUCUGGAACUGCCUUUGAUACUGUCGAUCUGGAGUAUGGAAGAGGUGAGUGGAAUUCCGAGUGUAGAGGUGAAAUUCGUAGAUAUUCGGAGGAACACCAGUGGCGAAGGCGGCUCACUGGUCCAUUACUGACGCUGAGGUGCGAAAGCGUGGGGAGCAAACAGG